UACGUAGGGGGCAAGCGUUGUCCGGAUUUAUUGGGCGUAAAGAGCUCGUAGGUGGUUCGGUAAGUCGGAUGUGAAAUCUCCAGGCUCAACCUGGAGGGGUCAUUCGAUACUGCCGUGACUAGAGGUCGGUAGGGGAGUGUGGAAUUCCUGGUGGAGCGGUGAAAUGCGCAGAUAUCAGGAGGAACACCCGUAGCGAAGGCGGCACUCGUGGGCCGAUACUGACACUGAGGAGCGAAAGCGUGGGGAGCGAACAGG
rnacentral:rRNA from 1 species